rnacentral:misc_RNA from 1 species
CGAUUCCCGCUCUGAAUACCA